rnacentral:rRNA from 1 species
UACGUAGGGUGCGAGCGUUGUCCGGAAUUAUUGGGCGUAAAGAGCUCGUAGGCGGUUUGUCGCGUCUGCUGUGAAAACCUAAGGCUCAACCUUGGGCUUGCAGUGGGUACGGGCAGACUAGAGUGCGGUAGGGGUGACUGGAAUUCCUGGUGUAGCGGUGGAAUGCGCAGAUAUCAGGAGGAACACCGAGUGGCGAAGGCAGGUCACUGGGCCGCAACUGACGC